rnacentral:misc_RNA from 1 species
GAUGAAGAACGCAGCGAAAUGCGAUAAGUAAUGUGAAUUGCAGAAUUCAGUGAAUCAUCGAAUCUUUGAACGCACCUUGCACUCCUUGGUAUUCCGAGGAGUACGCCUGUUCGAGUGUUAUGAAGCUCUCAAAACGCAAUUGGCUUAAAACCUGAUUGUUGUUUUGGAUUUGAACUUUGCCGUGUUAUAACGGCUGGUUUUAAAAGUAUUAGCUGGUACUAGAACGAAUUGGUUCUACUCAACGUGAUAAUUAUCUGAUCGUUGAGGACAUUCCUUUCACGAGGAAUGGCCAUAGUAAAUUCAAUGGACUGCUUCUAAUCUGGCUUUAAUUCUUUAUUGGAUUAACCACUUUUCAAAUCUGACCUCGAAUCAGGUGGGACUACCCGCUGAACUUAAGCAUACAAUAAGCGGAGGA